rnacentral:rRNA from 1 species
GACGAACGCUGGCGGCGUGCUUAACACAUGCAAGUCGAACGGAAAGGCCCUGCUUUUGUGGGGUGCUCGAGUGGCGAACGGGUGAGUAACACGUGAGUAACCUGCCCUUAACUUUGGGAUAACUUCAGGAAACUGGGGCUAAUACCGGAUAGGAGCUCCUGCUGCAUGGUGGGGGUUGGAAAGUUUCGGCGGUUGGGGAUGGACUCGCGGCUUAUCAGCUUGUUUGUGGGGUAGUGGCUUACCAAGGCUUUGACGGGUAGCCGGCCUGAGAGGGUGACCGGCCACAUUGGGACUGAGGUACGGCCCAGACUCCUACGGGAGGCAGCAGUGGGGAAUAUUGCACAAUGGGCGGACGCCUGAUGCAGCAACGCCGCGUGCGGGAUGACGGCCUUCGGGUUGUAAACCGCUUUCGCCUGUGACGAAGCGUGAGUGACGGUAAUGGGUAAAGAAGCACCGGCUAACUACGUG